rnacentral:rRNA from 1 species
UAUUAAUGUUGUUGCAGUUAAAAAGCUCGUAGUUGGAUUCCUGGCACGGGGUAGCCGGUCCGCCUUGCAAAAGGUGCGCACUGAGCGGCCUCGGCCAUCCUUGCGAUGGUCUAUCCUGGCAUUCAGUUGUCGGGGUGGGGAUUCGCGACGUUUACUGUGAAAAAAUCAGAGUGUUCAACGCAGGCUUACGCCUUGAAUACAUUAGCAUGGAAUAAUGAGAUAGGACCUUGGCGGUCUAUUUUGUUGGUUUGCACGCCGAGGUAAUGAUUAAAAGGGACGGUUGGGGUUCUUCGUAUUCAAUUGUC